CGGCGGACGGGUUAGUAACGCGUGGGAAUAUGCCCGACACUAAGGAAUAGCCUCUGGAAACGGAGAGUAAUACCUUAUACGCCCUUCGGGGGAAAGAUUUAUCGGUGACGGAUUAGCCCGCGUUAGAUUAGAUAGUUGGUGGGGUAAUGGCCUACCAAGUCUACGAUCUAUAGCUGGUUUUAGAGGAUGAUCAGCAACACUGGGACUGAGACACGGCCCAGACUCCUACGGGAGGCAGCAGUGGGGAAUCUUGGACAAUGGGCGCAAGCCUGAUCCAGCCAUGCCGCGUGAGUGAUGAAGGCCUUAGGGUCGUAAAGCUCUUUCGCCAGAGAUGAUAAUGACAGUAUCUGGUAAAGAAACCCCGGCUAACUCCGUGCCAGCAGCCGCGGUAAUACGGAGGGGGUUAGCGUUGUUCGGAAUUACUGGGCGUAAAGCGCGCGUAGGCGGAUUAGUCAGUUAGAGGUGAAAUCCCGGGGCUCAACCCCGGAACUGCCUUUAAUACUGCUAGUCUUGAGUUCGAGAGAGGUGAGUGGAAUUCCGAGUGUAGAGGUGAAAUUCGUAGAUAUUCGGAGGAACACCAGUGGCGAAGGCGGCUCACUGGCUCGAUACUGACGCUGAGGUGCGAAAGUGUGGGGAGCAACAGGAUUAGAUACCCUGGUAGU
rnacentral:rRNA from 1 species